rnacentral:rRNA from 1 species
UUUUCCUACGGGGGGCAGCAGUGAGGAAUAUUGGUCAAUGGGCUUACGCCUGAACCAGCCAAGUCGCGUGAGGGAAGACUGCCCUAUGGGUUGUAAACCUCUUUUGUCGGGGAGCAAAGCGAGUCACGUGUGACUCAUUGAGAGUACCCGAAGAAAAAGCAUCGGCUAACUCCGUGCCAGCAGCCGCGAUAAUACGGAGGAUGCGAGCGUUAUCCGGAUUUAUUGGGUUUAAAGGGUGCGUAGGCGGAAUGCCAAGUCAGCGGUAAAAUCGCGGGGCUCAACCUCGCUCCGCCGUUGAAACUGGC